GUCUAAAUGGCUCAGUGGGAUUUUUCAGAUCACCUACCAAUCUGAGGGUCAGGGGUUCGAACCCCCUUCGGGUCA